ensembl:lncRNA
UGCAGCCUUCCAGGACCUAAAGGGAGCCUCCAAACAGGAGGGGAGUCAACACUUUGAAAGGGUGGAUAACAGCAGGACAAGGGGAAAUGGUUUGAAGUUGAAGGAGGGAAGAUGUAGGUUGGAUGUCAGGGGGAAGUUCUUUCCUAUGAGAGUGGUGAGGUGCUGAACAGCUGCCCAGAGAGGCUGUGGAUGCCCCGUCCAUCCCUGGAGGUGUUCAAGGCCAGGUUGGAUGGGGCCCUGGGCAGCCUGGGCUGGUAUGAAAUGUGGAGGUUGGUGGCCCUGCUUGUGGUGGGGGGGUUGGAGCUUCAUGAUCCUUGAGGUCCCUUCCAACUCAAGCCAUGCUAUGAUUCUAUGAUUUAAAAUUUCUUCAGAUUUUUCUACGGUGCUCAGUCAAGUGCCUUGAACAAAUCUGAGUGCAUUAUAGAUCUAGUGACUCCUUCAUCAGCUGAACUUGUGGUGUCCUGAAGGAUGGAAAUCAUGCUUAUGUGCCUUGAUUUAUUUGUCAAUAAAGUGUUGAGAGGCAGCACUUAUAUCCCUGUUCCUUACUUUUCC